rnacentral:lncRNA from 1 species
GUGCGAAGCAGGUUUUUUUGAGGAGUUGAUGCUGAAAAGACCUGGAAAGAGGAAGCCAGUCUUGAACACACAGGAGGAGUGUCCCUGUGUAUGGUUGAGGUUGGCCCUGUGAGGUGAAAAAUGUACUGUGUGCCAAAAGGCAGUUGCUGUGACCACAACACAGGACAAAUGUCCAUAAGAUUGUGUUAGAAAGGAAUCUAACAGUCAUUUUGGACUUGAACACCUGACCCCCAGCUGGGAACACAUUCACGGUGCUUGGAACCCAAGGCUUCAAGGAAGAGUUGAACAGAGAUGUCACAGGAGCCCUGAGACAUGCAGGCAUCAGUGACAAGGAAUCUUUACAGAAGGCCUUGUCUCUGGUCUCCACGUGGCUUUUCUUGUUCCCCCUAUUGAUCUACUUCAGUGGAAAUUUGGGAAGAAGACAAGGUAAGCAUGUUAAUUUCCUUCAUCUUGAACCAAAUCCCAUUGCUAGCAGGAUUUCGUUUUCUGCCAUUUUUAAGAAUUUUUUUUUUUUUUUAAACACAGUCAUUAGUUG